rnacentral:rRNA from 1 species
AGACGUCUACAUUAGAUACCCCGGUAGUCCCAGCCGUAAACUAUGCGCGUUAGGUGUAUCGGUGACCACGAGUCACCGAGGUGCCGAAGGGAAACCGUGAAAAACGUGCCGCCUGGGAAGUACGGUCGCAAGGCUGAAACUUAAAGGAAUUGGCGGGGAGCACCACAACGGGUGGAGCCUGCGGUUUAAUUGGACUCAACGCCGGGAAGCUCACCGGAUAAGACAGCGGAAUGAUUGCCGGGCUGAAGACUCUGCAUGACUAGCUG